rnacentral:rRNA from 1 species
UGGGUGACCUGCCCUCAGCUCUGGGAUAAGCCUGGGAAACUGGGUCUAAUACUGGAUAUUCACUUCUCAUCGCAUGGUGGGUGGUGGAAAGUUUUUCGGCUGGGGAUGGGCCCGCGGCCUAUCAGCUUGUUGGUGGGGUGAUGGCCUACCAAGGCGACGACGGGUAGCCGGCCUGAGAGGGCGUCCGGCCACACUGGGACUGAGACACGGCCCAGACUCCGUACGGGA